AGCGAACGUUAGCGGCGGGCCUAACACAUGCAAGUCGCACGAGAAAAGGGCUUCGGCCCCCAGUAAAGUGGCGGACGGGUGAGUAACACGUGGGUAAUCUACCUUCCGGCGGGGGACAACAAUCCGAAAGGAUUGCUAAUACCGCGUACGUCGGCCGGGUCUACGGACCUGGUCGGGAAAGCAGGCCUCUCCAUGGAAGCUUGCACCGGAAGAUCAGCGCGCGGCGCAUCAGCUAGGUGGUAGGGUAAUGGCCUACCAAGGCGUAGACGCGUAGCUGGUCUGAGAGGAUGAUCAGCCACACUGGAACUGAGACACGGUCCAGACUCCUACGGGAGGCAGCAGUGGGGAAUAUUGGGCAAUGGGCGCAAGCCUGACCCAGCCACGCCGCGUGAGUGAUGAAGGCCUUCGGGUCGUAAAGCUCUGUGGGGAGGGACGAAAAAACGUGAGCUAAUAUCUCACGGCUUGACGGUACCUCCUUAGCAAGCACCGGCUAACUCCGUGCCAGCCGCCGCCGUAAAAC
rnacentral:rRNA from 1 species